AUUGAACGCUGGCGGCAUGCCUUACACAUGCAAGUCGAACGGUAACAGGUCUUCGGAUGCUAACGAGUGGCGAACGGGUGAGUAAUACAUCGGAACGUGCCCGAGAGUGGGGGAUAACGAGGCGAAAGCUUUGCUAAUACCGCAUACGAUCUCAGGAUGAAAGCAGGGGACCGCAAGGCCUUGCGCUCACGGAGCGGCCGAUGGCAGAUUAGGUAGUUGGUGGGAUAAAAGCUAACCAAGCCGACGAUCUGUAGCUGGUCUGAGAGGACGAUCAGCCACACUGGGACUGAGACACGGCCCAGACUCCUACGGGAGGCAGCAGUGGGGAAUUUUGGACAAUGGGCGCAAGCCUGAUCCAGCAAUGCCGCGUGCAGGAUGAAGGCCUUCGGGUUGUAAACUGCUUUUGUACGGAACGAAAAGCCCUGGGUUAAUACCCUGGGGUCAUGACGGUACCGUAAGAAUAAGCACCGGCUAACUACGUGCCAGCCGCCGCCGUAAAAC
rnacentral:rRNA from 1 species